CUAAGGUGGAGCCACCCUAAGGUCGGAGGGCUUCGCGGACGCCCGGAGCGGCCGGGCGGGCCGGGGCUGCGGCAGGUGGAAGAGCCGCUUCCGGGAGGCCGCCGGCAGGUGAAGGAGGCGGCGGCCGCGGCGCUGCCCCUCGGUGGGGCGGCUCCCGCCCAGGCGGACGGGAGAGGCCGCUAUGAGGCUGCUCUUGCUGGCCAGCCUCCGGGCGCAGACCGGCAACGCGACCACUGCGGCCAGGAUACAGGAUCAUCUACAUGCUGCAGGUCAUGUCUGCAUUCUUAAAGAUGCUUUCACUUAUGAAAGUCCAACAGAAGUAGCAAAUCUAACCUCUGCAGACAAGUUUGAUGCAGCCCUGGCCAUUCAUCUUUAUAAAGCAGGCAGACUUCUGCAAGGUAGCAGAAUUCCUUUUGGAGUCAUCUUCGGUGGGACAGAUGUAAAUGAAGAUGUCAAAUGUGAAGAGAAACGUCGGGUAAUGGGAGAUGUGCUAGGAGAAGCCAGGUUUGCAGUGGCUUUCACCAUGAAAAUGAAGGAACUGGCAGCAGCAGAGUGGCCAGAUGCUAGGAAGAAAAUCUAUGUCCAAACUCAAGGAAUUAAGACUACACCCAGUGAAACAUUUGACUGGUAUAGUUUUCUACAAAAUUCAGACAUUCCCACAGAUACAGACAGUUUACAUAUGUUCCUUUUGAUAUGUGGACUUCGAAGAGUCAAAGAUCCUCUGUAUUUAGUGGAUGUAUUUUCAGAUUGGCACAGAAAGGAUCCCAGUGUCCAUCUGGCCAUAAUCGGACCAGCAGUUGAUCCACUUUUUACAAGUGAAGUUAAGGAAAAAGUUAAAAGGUCACCUGGAGUACAUUUGUUACAGGAGAUGCCACAGGAUGAUCUUCAUGCUGCUAUGAAAAGGUGCUUUGCUGUGGUGAACAGCUCCAUCUCAGAGGGGAUGUCUGCUGCCAUUCUGGAGGCAAUGGAUUUAAAUAUUCCAGUGCUGGCAAGGAACAUUCCUGGGAAUGCAGCAAUAAUAAAACAUAAGGAAACAGGACUGCUAUUUUCAGAUCCCCAGGACUUUGUUGUGCUGUCCAAGAGUUUGAUGAAUGACCCCAUUAUGGAAAGAGAAAUUGUAACAAGGGCCAAAGCUUACGUGAAGAAACACCAUUCAUGGGAAAGUGAAAGAAAAGUCUAUCAGGAUCUUGUCCUAAGACUCCAGUGAAUUGCAAGACGACAGCUGAAACCCAGCAGUGUGCAUAGAGCACUUUAAUAAUGGAUAUGUAAUUACAUUUGGGUUUCUUUUUAGAAGAGAUAGCAAGACACACAUUAUUAUCCUAUUCAAACAUGCCAACAUCACAGGAGUUUCCUACUACUUCAAACUACCAAGUGUUUCUAAUUCACCACACUGGCUCUAGUGUACCAGGUCAUUAUAGACUGGUAUAAUUUUGUGAGAUCACACAGGAGAAAUAUAGUCUUUGAGCAGACACAAUUUUUCUUGCUGUAAGGCCUCAAAAAGAGGAGGAUUUCUUGCACACAGUGGAGCACCCCAACACAGCGAGCUAACGUCACAUGUUCUGAUCAUGUUGCAUCCCAACCAAACUGCAGUAGCAGUUUUUAUUCCAUUUAUCCCAAGCUGAAUGUAUUCAGUCCCAGCCCCAGGCAGUGAAUUGACCCAGUACAUUAAAAGGCAAGUACCAGAGAUGUGCCGACGUUCCGCUGGCAUCUGCAGCCAUGGGCAGCUCAGGGGAAAACGGGAACAUCUCAUGCAACACUGACCUAUCUCAGAAGAGGCCAAACUCCUGAACGUGAACUUUGAAGGCAAGAUAAGGGUGAUGUGCCUGAGCCAGUCUGGCAAGAAGGGGAAGUGCCCACGAUGGACACACACAAAGCAGCUCAGCUGGAGAGAGAGAGAAAGAGAGAACAAGUGCUCAUCCUGCCUGCAAAGAAACAGGCAGGGCCAGUCUUGGGCCCAUGGAAGAUAAGUUAAUCCUCAGCAGGGGAAUUUCUGCAUGAAGACAAAUAGUCAGAAACUGAUCUACCCUAAACUACCUUAUGGUUAGCAAGAUUAAUCUCACCUUCAUGUAAGGAUCUCAUAAAUACAGAAAACUAUUUCUCCAGAACUCCUUUAUGGCCAGUGGAGGGUCCGGGCCUAGUAAAAAUGAUAGUUCAUCAAUGCAACCUUAGGUGAGGAUGAUCCACCCACUGAAGGUAUUUGUCUCUGUUAGAAGGAGGGUAACACCUUUCCAGUGCUCACAUCUCAGUGAGAGAAAUUCCGCCCCAAGUCCAGGUACCAGCUUUCUGAGAAGGGGUUCAGGUCUCAAGGUCAGAAUCUUUAGACAAACACCUGAAGGAGGAGCCACAAGAGAGAGAGACCCUGGGGGCACAAAAGCUCUGUAAGCACUCAUGAACUACACAGGCAGAGGCAAUACCCUGCACGUGUGGGUGUGCAGGUUAUUGUCCUGUGUGCAGGUUAUUGUCCUGUGUGCAGCAUUGGGACUGCAGUGAACCCAGCUGCUAGAAUCUCAGAGCUUCUCUUGAUCUAAACUGGGCAAAGCAUCAGGGGGGUACAGCCAGUCUGGGGGCAAACCUGAGAGGGGGAGCAGGCAGUGGUGUGUGUCCAGCCAGAGAACACAAGCAACAGAACUGUUCCCCAGGCUUUAGCCACAGUCCAACUCACAUUUUCCCCAUCAACAGUACUUUGUCUCUUUGUUUCUAAUUCUUCUGUGCUUAUCUACAUUUAAACUAUUAAUAACUGCAUGAUUCUUGCUACAACAUUUGGGAAGGGAAUACAGUGUCAUUGGUUUGUAAGAGUUAACAACAGACAACUUGUAAUUAAAGAAAAAUUUGUUUCCUGAAUCACAGCAAACCAGGUUUUAAGUGAAGCAAAGAAAACAUGAUAGCUUGAUCUCAAAUCCCACAGAAACCUAUAUCCAUCCCUGGCUUUACACACUGCAGGUGUGCAAGAGUUAGUAUAUAUUUAUUGGGACCUUUUAAAGUGUCACACUGGAUCACCUUAGCAUUCCUGCUCCGCUACAGUUGUCACACAAAUAACAAGUGCAUGCAAGGACUUCCAUUAAUGUCUCUUGAUAUUGGAGAUUUCUGGGAAGACAGAAAUUUAAUCAUGAGACAUGAAAAAAAAAUGAAAGCCUAGAGAUGAAGCAGGCACUUUUGUGAUGCUCUUUCAGAAGCUGUCACAUAAUAUAGAUGCUAUUCUCCCCAGUGUCUUCUUAGUUUUGCCUGUAAAUGCAUGUCUCCCUCUUCUCAUCUAUUUUUGGUAAGGCCAAAAGUCCCCCAGAGCACUAUAAUUAUCUCCAUCAGAAAUGUCAGAAGAGUUUACAGCUGAAGUAGGUGUUUGCCCAGAACAGGAAAAUCAGGUACACCUUCAGGUGUGCUGGGGAGGUAUUAAAAUCAAGUUGUUGCACAUAAUUUUCAGGGGAAGAUUUGGGCUGCACUAGUGGGAAAGAUUUGUGUAUCAACUAUACUUGAGAAAAUAAGCCAUAUUAUCCCUCUGGGCUUUGACUUCAAGCCAUUAAGGACUGAGCAAGUUAAAUGUAUUUUAAAUAAAACUUUGUUGCUUCAUCUGUUGGAAGGCACAACAAUAGAUGAGUCCCUUAAUGUAAAUGCAGUAACGAGGCUAUGCUUGUGAUGCUUUCCCUGCACUUCCCUUUGUUUACUGCCAGUUUUUCCUGCAACACACCAAGGGUUAGAACCUCUGCCUAGCAGUUUGAAAUAAGUGAGGUUUUACAUUUAACGAGAAAAGUCACAUUUUUGCUAUGGCAGUGUUAAAAUUCAAUUACUUUAAGUUUUAUGUGUGACUGAGUAUCCAUAUACCCUGAAAGUGAAAACUACAUUUUCAACAACAUCUGUCAACUGGCAGGAUCCUAUUAGGAAAUGUGGAAAAAACCCACAUUAUUAAAAAAGGAUAUGCCUUGCAAAGGCAUAUUGGAAGGGCUCAAAUGACUUAAACCUGGACUUCAGAUAUGGGGAAUGCAGAACAUCAAACAGAUGCCAACCUCCCAGCAGCUUUUGUGUGUCUCUUUGCUCCAAGGUGCCAGGGCAUGAUUUUCAUCCCUCCUGUGACCUCCCCUCUCCCACUGAUUUUAUUAAGAAUAUUGGCUGCAUGGCACGUCUCUGAAAUCAGGCCUUUGCGUCAUAAACUGGGCACUCAACAUUAACUUCUGCUUUAAAACUGAGGAUUAAAACAUUUUCUCUCCUUAGUUCCCCUGUAUUUUUUCAGGCCAACAGAAAGUUCAGAGAAAUCCAGAUUUUGCAGAAAGAGCUUUCACGGCGAGCGCGCUGCCAUUUAUUUGUGACAACACUCGGCAUGGAACCCAGAGCAAAAGGCUCCAUCUCUGGCAUUGGACACAACAACUACCUCCGUGGAGGGGAGAGAUACAAAAGCUGCAAGUACCCAUUCACAGAGGAAGCAGAUUAACACCCUAAGCCACCAAAUCAUUUCCAUUGUGUACAUACACAACUGUGUGAGCACAAAACCCGUGUUUCACUGCCUGUUAUGCUCCAUUAUUUUUGAAUACAAUCUUUCUCUUGGCAUUAGUACUAAAUGAAUGGUAAGUUCAUUUCAUCUGAAAGGCUAAACAAACAAGCACUAACAAUGAGAAUAAAUCAGAUUGCUGCAGUACUUUCAAGUAGCUGGUAAAAAUAAUAUUUUCAUCAACUACCUCAGCUGUAACCACCAUGAGCUACUGGAAGGGUUAAGGCUGUGCCUCAGAAGUCUAGUGAGAAAACACACAAAAUUAUUCAAAAUACGCAAUUUCAUCCCCGCCCCUUGACUCAGAUCCAAAGCAGAAGAUGGCAGUCUGAGUUUCUGCCCACACUACCAAGUUGAAGCCACCAACAAAACAAAGGCUAAUGGAAUAUUCUGAAAGACCAGCCAUUUAGCAGGAAUGCUAAUAGAUAGCAAUAUUCUACAAAAAUAACUGGCCAGACUGACGUGGUUUACUCCAAGAGAAAGUAUUCUUUUGGUUUGCUCCAAAAUAAAGAACAAUCCCACAUUUAA